rnacentral:misc_RNA from 1 species
AACGCACAUUGCGCCCCUUGGUAUUCCGAGGGGCAUGCCUGUCCGAGCGUCAUUUCACCAAUCAAGCUCUGCUUGGUAUUGGGCCUCGUCCGCACAGGACGGGCCUCGAAGACCCCGGCCGCGCGGUCCCGCUUCAGGCGUAGCAGAGCUUUCGCAGCCUCGCCUUGGAAGUUUGCCCGUGUCGCGCCGAAUGACGAACCCUUUUCUAUCAAGGUUGACCUCGGAUCAGGUAGGGAUACCCGCUGAACUUAA